rnacentral:lncRNA from 1 species
ACAAACUUGCAUCGGAAUUAUGUAUGCCGUCAAAAACUUACAUCAGAAUUAUGUAGGCCGUCAAAAACUUACAUGAGAAUUACAUCAGAAGAAUCAAAAUAGCACCAUCCUCAGAAUCACAUUAGAGAAUCCAGAAGGCACAAUCAUCAAAGUAAUGGAAAGCUAUUUGUCGAAAGUGAAUUUCCAAAUGUUUACUUUUACUAUACUCUUCCAAUAUGCCCUGUUUAAGCAGUAUCUGAAUAGGCUUGUAGACGAGUAUUACAUGGUGGUCCUUCCAAUUUGCUUUGUUUAUGCAGUAGUUGAAUAGACUUGUAGACGAGUAUUACAUGAUGGCCCUUGAGAGUGACCUAUUUGUGUACACAAAACUAUAUAUGGGUGAGUUUAAAUGGAAAAUUUCUGUCAAGGAUGUAUAUAAAAACAAGACAGAAGUUCAUUCAUUUAAAGAGAGUGGUGAUUUCCCUCAACUUUAGAAAAACUUUGAUGCAAAUCCUUAUCCUGACGGCAUCUGCAAAGUUGAAUUCACUACAUCUCGAAAAUCGAAUUCAAUGAAAUAAAUUUAAUGAAACCAGAAAAUUUUGUGCAAUGAAUUUCUUAGAAGAUCUUUGCUUCAUCUGCAAAGUCGAAUUCAGUGAAACAAGAAAAUUUUGCACAAUAAAUUUAUUAGAAGAAAAAUGAGAAUGAGUUUUAGGAUAAGUCGAUACGGAAGAAGUUUGGUUCCCCAAAGCCAAAAAAAAUUAUUGAAAAUAGCGAGAACAAGGCUUUUAAAAAAAAAAUAUUGUCAAAAAAAGAAAGCUAUAGUUUCUCAUUUUUUAGAAUCCAGUAUUUCUUAAAGCUAGUUUCAUGUAUUACUAGUUAACAAAACAAGAAAGUGCUACAAAAGGCUAGAACUUCCAGCUUCUAAAACCAGAAGUUCUAGACUUGUUAAUAAAGAUGAAAGUGCUUCAGCAUGCUAGAACUUUCAGCUUGUGGAAGUGAGAGCACUUCCAUUCAGGAAUCCAAUGACUUAACACGACGCCUUUAAUAAUAAAUUAGGAGUUUUAAGGGGUAAAAAAAAACACCUCGAUGUUUUUAUAUGUUUUAAACAGGAAAUAUAUAUUUUAAGUUGGCAAAGGCAACAACUUUUAUAUGUUUUUACAUAUUCAUUUUGAUUACAACCAAUUGAUUAGAGUUAUUUUGGUACAACCAAUUAGUUAGUUUUUUACUAGAACCACAUGAUUAGAGCUAUUUUAGUGCAUAAAUCGUGCUUAUCAUCCAAGCUCAAUAAAACAAUUCAUUCAUCACUAUAAAAAUCUUCUCGUCCAAAAAAUAUCAUUCCUAACCAUACCAUUAAAAUCUUCUCUUCCAAAAAAAUACCAUUCCAAACAAUACCAUUAAAAGGAGCCAAAAGAAAAAGAAAGCCAUAACGGAAGCCAUCAUGAUUUAUUUUUAGUCAUCCUAAAUUAACCAUCAGCACACCACCAACCACAACACUAGCUAAUUACCAAAGAAAGUAAAUCAGCUAAUUAUCCAAUAAAAAAUUUAUAUCCAUGCAAUAAAGAAGUGAAUUACCAGAAAAAAAAAAAUGUUUUCAAAAGAUAAAGGAAAAUGAAGAUGAAUGUCUGCCCAAUAAAAAAAUUAAUUAUUUGUCCAAAAGAAAGCAAGUUUUGUAUAAUGGAUGAUGUUGGAAAACAUCUUCCAACACAUUAUAUGGAUUGUCCACUUUCAAGAAUUUCAUGUGUUUAUAAAUCUAUUAGAUUUGACCAUUUUGAAGUUUAAAGUUUUAUAACUAGAGAUGAAAAUAGAUGGAUUGCCCACUUUCAAGAAUUUCAUAUGUUUAUAGAUCUAUUAGAUUUGACCAUUUUGGAGUUCAAUAUUUUAUAACUAGAGAUGAAAAUAGAUACUCAGGUCAUUCUAAGAAUCUUUUACUCCAAACUUACAUCUUAGGAUAGAAUUUAGAGGUGCACCUUACUUUGAUCGUUACUGUUAGAACAUUAUACAAACUAUACCCUUUUAAUAUUACAAACAACAAAACAAAGGGGAUAUUUAGGAUAGAAAGUUUUUUCUCUAGUUAAAUACUUUAUUUUAGAUUUUGGGUUCCACAUGAAAAUUAUCAUAUGAUUAUUUUUUAAUAAAAUAAAAUAAAAUAAAAUAAAGUAUAUUGAGUUCUUUUAACACUUGGAUAUCCCCACUUAAAAUUGGACGGUCUUUGUUACAUAUUCCAAUAUAUGUGCAACUUUGGAAUGUUAUCUUUUUCAAGCAUUACACUCCUAAAAGGGGAAGUAAAAAUACUCCAACAAUACUCCAAUAUUUGGUUUUACCGAGCACAUAAUCUCUUAACAAUUUUUUCCAGAAAUUUAGAAGAAAUGGUAGCUUGCAUAAUCUUUUAACAAAAUUUUCCAGAAAUUUAGACGAAAUGGGAGCUUUGUGAUUCAGUUGAAGUGGUCGAGAUUCAUUUAUGGCAGAGUACCUCAUUCCCCUAGAAAAAUUAUAGAAGAAAGAGAAACAUGAGGAGCCACCUGAGCAAUUUACCAUCAUAAUCUAAAAUCUUUAAUACCCCAUUGUAUUAGAAGUACCUCUCAAAUUAUCAUCAUGAUCUAAAUUCUUUAAUACCCCAUUGUAUUAGACGUACCUCUCAAAUUAUUUUUCCCUUUUUUUUAUAUGUUAAUAGUGCAAUAGAAGGCAUUCAAUAAUUUUAACCAUUGGAAAAGAAAUGGAGUAGGCUACAAGUAAAUCAAUUUAUUUAUUUCAUUGCGAAGGAAAUAGAGUAGGUUAAAAUAUCAUUUACUUUCUAAUGAAAGUCUCCGAUAAAAGAAAAUUUUGAAGAAAAAUUAUAUUCACAAAAUAAAUAUAACAAAAUUUUUGUGAAAUACUUACUCGUCAAUCUACUCCAAAAAUUAUAUUCACAAAAUAUAUAUAACAAAAUUUUUGUGAAAUACUUACUGGUCAAUCUAUUCCAUUGCCUCAAAGAUUUAAUAUUGGAAUCGUGUGGGCAUAAAACUGAUGUCUCCAUGGCCUUAAUAUCUUAAAUAUAUUGAUAUGCUUAUAUAAAUGAUGAUUUCAUAUUGGAAUCGUGUGGGCAAAAAACUGAUGUCUCCAUAGCCUUAAUAUCUUAAAUAUAUUG